rnacentral:rRNA from 1 species
GGCUCAGGAUGAACGCUGGCGGCGUGCUUAACACAUGCAAGUCGAACGAAGACAUCUGAGUGCUUGCACUUGGAUGGACUGAGUGGCGGACGGGUGAGUAACGCGUGGGUAACCUGCCUUAUACAGGGGGAUAACAGUUGGAAACGACUGCUAAUACCGCAUAAGCGCACGGUAUCGCAUGAUACAGUGUGAAAAACUCCGGUGGUAUAAGAUGGACCCGCGUCUGAUUAGCUUGUUGGUGAGGUAACGGCCCACCAAGGCGACGAUCAGUAGCCGGCCUGAGAGGGUGAACGGCCACAUUGGGACUGAGACACGGCCCAAACUCCUACGGGAGGCAGCAGUGGGGAAUAUUGCACAAUGGGGGAAACCCUGAUGCAGCGACGCCGCGUGAGUGAUGAAGUAUUUCGGUAUGUAAAACUCUAUCAGCAGGGAAGAUAAUGACGGUACCUGACUAAGAAGCACCGGCUAAAUACGUG